ensembl:lncRNA
GGACGAGACUUCAAUGCCGCUUCUUUUUGCUCUGGAAGCACCUGAAGCGUUGGCACGAAGGCUGAAGGCAUCAUGAGGGUCUCUGAGCUACACCCCACCCGCUGCGGGCACCUGCAUCCCGUAAGCCCCCUCCAAGGCAGCGCACUCACACCAACAGGUCGGCUUUGUUGCUACCUUUCAGCCGUGCCGUUGCGGUGCUGCAGAACUCGGCAUUGCUGCCUGCAGCGCUGCCAUGGUGGUACUUGAUUCCCAGCUCAGGGCUCCCGCUCUGCAUUGCCCGAUCCACUUGGCACAGCUCUGGGGGCAGAACGGAACACAAAGGAGGCUCUGGACGAUGGACUUUGCUACAGGGAAACCUAAUGCUACCACAGAAAGGGAAGCGAUCAUGGUGUAGCAAUGUGAACUGCCACACAUGGCAAAGCUCGUUUUCCCACCGAGAGCUGGUGUUUUGUGGGACCACAACCUGGUCUCACGAAAGAAGGCAACCUUUCUCCAGUCCACGUAGCAAAACCCCUUCCCACCUUUUCUCAGGCAAGCCUGUCCCUGUGGUACAUGCCCAGCACUCCGGGGAAUCCUACACAGUGCCACGACCCAAAUCAGCACCCAAGCCUGCCUCACUGCAAAGCAUACCUGUAAUUUCAACUUGAUGCUGUUCUUUCAUGCAGCAGCCGCUGGGAGGCUUGGGGAUCAAGUACUGUAGGUGUAUGCUUAACACUGCUGAAGUCACUUUGAUCUUCUCCGAGGACAGAAUUUUCUGCAGAUUAAAUUCUCAGCUCUGAACGAUGAGAUCUGAUCCUGGGAGUGAGACAGACUGAAAGCACCAGGCACUGCUGGUGCCAUGCUGCUGUGCUCAUACCUGCCCAAAAGCAAGUUAAAAUGCAAGUCUGGGAGACUUUGUCACAGAGUUUUACCACUGAACAAUACUGAAACGUGUCAAGAAUUAGACAGAACUGCGUGGGAUGCACUCUCUACUCACAGAAAUGUGUGUUUUUCUGGGCACAGAGGAGGUGCUGAGCACCAUCAAUGAACUGACUAUAACGCUAGAAGCAAAUAUUAUGUGACGGAUUUCAUUUGCCAGCAGGGUGGCAAAAUGUCUGUCCAAAGAAGUGCAAACAACGCCCGCCGACCCGCUGAAAUCAGCUGGUGCCAUGCAGCUGCAGGUGGUCACACCUUUGUUUUUCUACAGAAAGUGAAUAUGUAGUUGGAGUUUCCUUAUCUAAGUAGGAAUGCCAUCACCUUUGAUCAGGGUUUGUGAGCGAGGGAUAAAGAAGAAGCAGUCUGAUGCACCCACUUGCUAUGGAACUCGGGCCAUUCUGCAGAGGCAAGACGUAUGGGAAACUGUUUUUUUUUUCCUUUGGACAGCUGGUCUCUCCUCUUGACCCCAUUAUGGUGCCCGUGUGGAACUGCCACCCUCUCACCCAGACCUUGGGGCUGCCCAUCACAUCCCACCUGGCUGGGCACCUCCGUGACACCUCCAGUCUGCCCACAGCGAAAGGGUUCAGACACAUGGUUCCUGUCUGUUUUGCACUAACCACCUGCCAGCAAGGUUCGGUGUUACUCAUGAAGGCCAUCCACCCCUGUACACAAUUCUGCCUUCAGCACCGCAUACACACACACUCUGGUCACGCUCUGCAGACCCAGCCCAGAGCUUCUCCGAACAUCAUCACAAAUCACCCUCUGGGAUAUGGUUGCUUACAACAAAUUUAUUUCAACGGAAUUGAAAAACCCUCUUGUUCUGGAGCACAAUUAAUGAAGAGUUGAGGCUGUGUU